AACUAUAACAAUCAAGCGCCACAGACAGCAGGCGGCAUAAGCGCCAUAAGACCUGCCGAGGCAUAAAACAAGAAAAAUUUUUUGUUUUUUACUCGUGAAAUCUGUGGCUGUGGCACGGAUUUUUUGUUUUAAUAA
rfam:Candidatus Falkowbacteria bacterium RIFOXYA2_FTLL_47_19 rifoxya2_full_scaffold_214, whole genome shotgun sequence.